rnacentral:tRNA from 1 species
AUCUUUUUAGUAUAAAAAUUAUAUUUGACUUCCAAUCAAAAGAUCUUAUUAAUAAGAAAAGAUA